rnacentral:rRNA from 1 species
GGCGAACGCUGGCGGCGUGCUUAACACAUGCAAGUCGAACGGAAAGGCCCUGCUUUUGUGGGGUGCUCGAGUGGCGAACGGGUGAGUAACACGUGAGUAACCUGCCCUUGACUUUGGGAUAACUUCAGGAAACUGGGGCUAAUACCGGAUAGGAGCUCCUGCUGCAUGGUGGGGGGUGGAAAGUUUCGGCGGUUGGGGAUGGACUCGCGGCUUAUCAGCUUGUUGGUGGGGUAGUGGCUUACCAAGGCUUUGACGGGUAGCCGGCCUGAGAGGGUGACCGGCCACAUUGGGACUGAGAUACGGCCCAGACUCCUACGGGAGGCAGCAGUGGGGAAUAUUGCACAAUGGGCGGAAGCCUGAUGCAGCAACGCCGCGUGCGGGAUGACGGCCUUCGGGUUGCAAACCGCUUUCGCCUGUGACGAAGCGUGAGUGACGGUAAUGGGUAAAGAAGCACCGGCUAACUACGUG